CGCCGAGCGAGCGAGGGGCAGCGCGCGGGCGGCGCUGAGCGGCGCUGGGGGCAGAUCCCCGUCGUGCGGGUUGCGCCGGGAGAAGGAAAGGCGCCGGGAAGUCCCCGGGCGCUGGCGGCGGUGGGGCUGCGUUGGGAGCAGCCGCGGCCGCGGGCUCCGCUCGCCUCGCCUAUAGGUCUGAGGCAAAAGGUCAGUGGGUCGCAUGGAGUCUGGGAGCUGCAUGACAUCAGCUUGGAGCUUUUCUGGCUGAUACCUGAUUUGGGCCAGGUGAGCAGAUGUGUGCCCCGUACUCACAUGGAGCAGAAUUACGGGUAGGCUGCUGAAGAAAUGAGGCAAUAGUUAGAAUUCAUUUGGGUCAUCAGUCAUUGGACUGGGAUUGUGGACUUGGGCCUGAGAAUGGCUCUUCCACUCUUAUUUGUUUGGGAUGUUGAAGCUUAGUUUGUGUGCGGCCCACCAAUUGCUGAAGCCGGCUGCUGGGGGCAGGAGCUUAGCGUGGGCUAUAGCUGGCUGUUAGUGAGGUGCUUGGCUUUGCAAAUGUGGAAGCUGGAUAAAAUGAAAGUCAAACAACUGCUGGAAGCACCGUUGUUGGAGAUUUUAAUGAUAUUCCUGGCUUUUCAUUUUAUAUCUUAGGUUAAAAACAAAUUGAAGUUAACAAAUGUGCUUAAUGUGUGUCUUCCUAAUCUCAAAUCACCUUCAGAAAUCCUCCAGUGCUUCCAUUUGCAGCUUAUGCUUCACGUUGGUGGCAUAACAGGAUCUUUAACGUACUUCAAUGGAGAACAUAAGUGUAACAGUACAUUUGUACUUCAGAGGCUUUGUUACAUGUAACGUAUGCUUUGGUCUCUUAAAGAUAUGUAAUUUUGUGAAAGAUGGUGCUAAGAUGGUUUCUGUUGUUAAUCAUUCCUCCCCUGCACGCUCAAGGUGAACGUUAUAGCACAGUUGUGAUGUAUAGGUAUGGCAUUUUCAUGAAGAAGCUCAAAGGACAACGAUUGUAAUAUGUUCUUAAGUACAAAAAAAACCACAGAG
rnacentral:lncRNA from 1 species